rnacentral:tRNA from 1 species
GCGCCUUUAGCUCAGUGGAUAGAGCACUUGUCUUCGGAACAAGGGGUCGGGGGUUCGAAUCCCUCAGGGCGCA